rnacentral:snRNA from 1 species
GUGCUUGCUUUGGCAGCACAUGUACCAAAAUUAAAACAAAACAGAGAGGGUUAGCAUGGCCCCUGUGCAAGGAUAACAUGCAAAUUCAUAAAGCGUUCCAUAUUUUU